rnacentral:rRNA from 1 species
UACGUAGGGUGCAAGCGUUGUCCGGAAUCAUUGGGCGUAAAGCGCGCGUAGGUGGCUUCGUAAGUCCGUUGUGAAAGUCAAAGGCUCAACCUUUGAAUGCCGAUGGAUACUGCGAAGCUAGAGUACGGAAGAGGCGAGUGGAAUUCCUGGUGUAGCGGUGAAAUGCGCAGAUAUCAGGAAGAACACCCGUGGCGAAAGCGGCUCUCUGGAACGGUACUGACGCUGAGACGCGAAAGCGUGGGGAGCGAACAGG